rnacentral:rRNA from 1 species
AUUGAACGCUGGCGGCAGGCUUAACACAUGCAAGUCGAGCGGGGUGAUGGUGCUUGCACUAUCACUUAGCGGCGGACGGGUGAGUAAUGCUUAGGAAUCUGCCUAUUAGUGGGGGACAACAUCUCGAAAGGGAUGCUAAUACCGCAUACGUCCUACGGGAGAAAGCAGGGGAUCACUUGUGACCUUGCGCUAAUAGAUGAGCCUAAGUCGGAUUAGCUAGCUGGUGGGGUAAAGGCCUACCAAGGCGACGAUCUGUAGCGGGUCUGAGGGGAUGAUCCGCCAAACUGGGACUGAGACACGGCCCAGACUCCUACGGGAGGCAGCAGUGGGGAAUAUUGGACAAUGGGGGGAACCCUGAUCCAGCCAUGCCGCGUGUGUGAAGAAGGCCUUAUGGUUGUAAAGCACUUUAAGCGAGGAGGAGGCUUACCUAGUUAAUACCUGGGAUAAGUGGACGUUACUCGCAGAAUAAGCACCGGCUAACUCUGUGCCAGCCGCCGCGGUAA